rnacentral:rRNA from 1 species
GACGAACGCUGGCGGCGUGCUUAACACAUGCAAGUCGAACGACGUGGCGAACGGUUGAGUAAUACGUGGGUAACCUGCCCUCCUUUUUGGGUUCAGCCUUGGGAAGGGGGUCUAAUAACGUAUUAAGGGGGAUGGGCUCGCGGCUUAUGAGCUUGUUGGUGGGGUGAUGGCCUACCAAGGCGGGGACGGGUAGCCGGCCUGAGAGGGUGACCGGCCACAUUGGGACGGGGAAGCGGCCCAGACUCCUACGGGAGGGAGCAGGGGGGGAUAUUGCACAAUGGGCGAAAGCCUGAUGCAGCGACACCGCGUGGGGGAUGAAGGCUUUCGGGUUGUAAAACUAUUUCGCUAUAGAACGGGUAGGUGGAUAGGAAGCGCCGGCUAACUACGUGCCAGCAGCCGCGGUAAUUC